rnacentral:tRNA from 1 species
GGAGAGGUGCGCCGAAUUGGCAAGGCACCGGUCUUGAAAACCGGCGCGGGAAACCGCUUAGGGGUUCGAGUCCCCUCCUCUCCG